CAACACAGAUAAAUGGCGGACCGGCUACGGACAGCCGAGGCGCGGCACGCCUGAAACAACACGUGGGUGACGUGCGGUGGUACACAUGCACGUGAGUGACUCUAGCGCACGGUGGUCGCUUUAAUCCGUUUAUAAUCGCGACUUUGUGUAUUAUCAAGACAACACAUAAGACAUUAGUCUCUGAGGAAUCGCUGGCACACCUACGUGAUAUGGAGUUUGCCUUGUAAUCGAAUGCACCCUAUAUGCAUACAUUGCAUUGGCACACUUUGAUGCUGGACCCCACACCUGCAUACUCACCUGGCAGCUGGCGAUGACUGGACAAUGGAGACAUAUCAAGCCCCUUAUUGUCAUGCUGUCUGCUCUUGGAACAUUGAUGAAGGUCCAAGCAAGACAGUCAGAUUGUGGAAUCAAAAAGGGCCAGCAGUCUACAACCUAUAGAAGAGGAGUUUAAAACAAUGGUGAAAAAUGCAUGUAUGACUUUGCAAAUACUGACCUUGACCCCAACCCCACCAGAUGCAGCAUACUGCAGCAGAUGUAAAAGUCUGAUGCACGAUAGCCUUGUUCCCAUUGGGUUAGGGUCAUAUAUUGUGCUUGUUUUAAUUAUGAAAAUGGCUUUGGAAAUAUUUAUAUUAAUUGAUAGAAAUGAGGCCUUUCUAUUUCUUCAGUCCAGUUAACUUUUUCGUUAUUGUUAGGGCACUUGUUGGCAAGUGGAUAGAAGCAGAGAUGGUAGUGGGAGUGGAAGAAACAGGUGCUUUCCAUUCAUCAGGAGAAGUCUGUCUUCUGCAGUGACUGGAAGUUGUCAAGUAUUGAAGAUGAUGCACAAAGCAACGUCAAGGCAAUAUUGAAGAUAUCAAAUACAGACACUCGAGCCAAUAGGGGUCAUAAGAUAUUACCUGAACAAAAUCACUUCCAGGUUUGAAAACAAUUACCAUUGAGCAGUUAAGUGUGUGUGUGUUCAUUUGACCCUAAAAGAACCAGGAAGUAGAUAGAAUCUGCCCCCUCAAGAUUUUUUCUGAUAUCACCAGAGUACAGCAGUUGAGCCUUCAGGAGUUUUUCAGUAACUCUAUUUGUGGUCCUUUUGGCACCAAUUCUGUGAAAAUUGUACAUACAUGUAUCUUGCUCAUUACAAGCACCCCUUUUUCCUGAGAGAAAAAGUUAAAAAAAAAAGCAAGUCUGGUUCCAGCCAAUUUGGCUCAUUAGGCCGGUGUUUAUGGUGGUUCCUUGGCAUGAAACAACUGAGAAUAUUUCUAUUCCCCCCAGGAUGGGAUGCCAGUCCACCGCAGGUAGCUUCCCC